GACGGAGGGUGCAAACGUUGCUCGGAAUCACUGGGCAUAAAGCGCACGUAGGCGGCCAACUAAGUCGGGUGUGAAAGCCCCGGGCUCAACCUGGGAAUGGCAUUUGGGACUGCAAGGCUAGAGUACGGCAGAGGGAGGUGGAAUUCCAGGUGUAGCAGUGAAAUGCGUAGAUAUCUGGAGGAACACCGAUGGCGAAGGCAGCCUCCUGGGCUAGUACUGACGCUCAUGCACGAAAGCGUGGGGAGCAAACAGG
rnacentral:rRNA from 1 species